rnacentral:misc_RNA from 1 species
AACGCACAUUGCGCCCUCUGGUAUUCCGGGGGGCAUGCCUGUUCGAGCGUCAUUGCAACCCCUCAAGCACGGCUUGUGUGUUGGGCCACCGUCCCUCUUUGUGGACGGGCCUGAAAUGCAGUGGCAGCACCGAGUUCUGGUGUCUGAGUGUAUGGGAAUCUCUUAUCGCUCAAAGACCCAAUCGGCGCUGAUGUCAGAUUUUUAUCCAGUUUGACCUCGGAUCAGGUAGGAGUACCCGCUGAACUUAA